CCUACGGGGGUCAGCAGUGGGGAAUUUUGCGCAAUGCUCGUAAGAGUGACGCAGCGACGCCGCGUGAAUGACGAAGGCCUUCGGGUCGUAAAGUUCUUUCGACAGGGAAGAAAAUGCCUAUAAGUAACUGUGUAGGUAUUGACGGUACCUGUAUAAGCAGCACCGGCUAACUCCGUGCCAGCAGCCGCGGUAAUACGGAGGGGGCGAGCGUUGUUCGGAGUGACUGGGCGUAAAGAGCACGUAGGCGGUGUUGUAAGUCAUUAGUCAAAGACUAGAGCUCAACUUUAGUAAGGCUAGUGAUACUAUAAUGCUAGAGUAUCAGAGAGGAUUGCAGAAUUCCUGGUGUAGCGGUGAAAUGCGUAGAUAUCAGGAGGAAUACCGUUAGCGAAGGCGGCAAUCUGGAUGGAGACUGACGCUGAGGUGCGAAAGCGUGGGUAGCAAACAGGAUUAGAUACCCUAGUAGUC
rnacentral:rRNA from 1 species